ensembl:snoRNA
AGCCUGUGAUGGUUUAAGAGUAGUGGACAGAAGGGAUUUCUGAAAAUGACGUUCUGAGGCU